rnacentral:ncRNA from 1 species
GGUUAAGCGACUAAGCGUACACGGUGGAUGCCCUGGCAGUCAGAGGCGAUGAAGGACGUGCUAAUCUGCGAAAAGCGUCGGUAAGGUGAUAUGAACCGUUAUAACCGGCGAUGUCCGAAUGGGGAAACCCAGUGUGAUUCGUCACACUAUCGUUAACUGAAUACAUAGGUUAACGAGGCGAACCGGGGGAACUGAAACAUCUAAGUACCCCGAGGAAAAGAAAUCAACCGAGAUUCCCCCAGUAGCGGCGAGCGAACGGGGAGCAGCCCAGAGUCUGAAUCAGCUUGUGUGUUAGUGGAACGGUCUGGAAAGUCCGACGGUACAGGGUGAUAGUCCCGUACACCAAAAUGCACAGGCUGUGAACUCGAAGAGUAGGGCGGGACACGUGGUAUCCUGUCUGAAUAUGGGGGGACCAUCCUCCAAGGCUAAAUACUCCUGACUGACCGAUAGUGAACCAGUACCGUGAGGGAAAGGCGAAAAAGAACCCCGGCGAGGGGAGUGAAAAAGAACCUGAAACCGUGUACGUACAAGCAGUGGGAGCACCUUCGGGUGUGACUGCGUACCUUUUGUAUAAUGGGUCAGCGACUUAUAUUCUGUAGCAAGGUUAACCGUAUAGGGGAGCCGCAGGGAAACCGAGUCUUAACUGGGCGUUAAGUUGCAGGGUAUAGACCCGAAACCGGU